rnacentral:snRNA from 1 species
ACACCGUGAUCAAAUAGGCGGUUCCCCCAGGGCGAGGCUACUCCAUUGCACUGCGGAGUGGUUGACCCUUGCGAUUACCCCUAAUGCGGGUAACUCGGACGCGUAAUUUUUGGUAGUGGGGA